rnacentral:rRNA from 1 species
UACGUAGGGGGCUAGCGUUGUCCGGAAUCAUUGGGCGUAAAGAGCGUGUAGGCGGCCCGGUAAGUCCGCUGUGAAAGUCGGGGGCUCAACCCUCGAAUGCCGGUGGAUACUGUCGGGCUAGAGUGCGGAAGAGGCGAGUGGAAUUCCUGGUGUAGCGGUGAAAUGCGCAGAUAUCAGGAGGAACACCAAUUGCGAAGGCAGCUCGCUGGGACGUAACUGACGCUGAGGCACGAAGGCCAGGGGAGCAAACGGG